rfam:Bombyx mori DNA, contig: Bm_scaf5_contig4635, strain: p50T/Dazao, build 2, whole genome shotgun sequence.
UUAACUCAAAUUUGUAUAGAGUUGGAACGUUUGCCUACGUUUGCCGCUAGAGAUGCUGUUCCAACUGCACACAAAUUUGAGUUA